rnacentral:tRNA from 1 species
CCCUUUAUGGCUGGUGGUUAAAGCGUAGGUCUCGUAACCGAAAGGUCGCGGGAUCGAAUCCCGCUAGAGGCU